AUCCAGCUGAUGAGUCCCACAUAGGACAAAACGCGAGUCGUGGAU
rnacentral:hammerhead_ribozyme from 1 species